UGGGGAAUUUUGCACAAUGGGGGAAACCCUGAUGCAGCGACGCCGCGUGAUUUAGAAGGCCUUCGAGUUGUAAAAAUCUUUUCUAUGGGAAGAAAAUGACAGUACCAUAGGAAUAAGGACCGGCUAAUUACGUGCCAGCAGCCGCGGUAAUACGUAAGGUCCGAGCGUUGUCCGGAAUCAUUGGGCGUAAAGGGUACGUAGGCGGGUAAGCAAGUUAGAAGUGAAAUCCUAUAGCUCAACUAUAGUAAGCUUUUAAAACUGCUCAUCUUGAGGUAUGGAAGGGAAAGUGGAAUUCCUAGUGUAGCGGAGAAAUGCGCAGAUAUUAGGAGGAAUACCGGUGGCGAAGGCGACUUUCUGGCCAUAACCUGACGCUGAGGUACGAAAGCGUGGGUAGCAAACAGG
rnacentral:rRNA from 1 species